rnacentral:rRNA from 1 species
UCUUGAGUAUGGUUGAGGCAGGCGGAAUGUGUGGUGUAGCGGUGAAAUGCUUAGAUAUCACACAGAACACCGAUUGCGAAGGCAGCUUGCUAAGCCAUAACUGACGCUGAGGCACGAAAGCGUGGGUAUCAAACAGGAUUAGAUACCCUGGUAGUCCACGCCGUAAACGAUGUUCACUCGCUGUUUGCGAUACACAGCAAGCGGCUAAGCGAAAGCGUUAAGUAAUCCACCUGGGGAGUACGCCGGCAACGGUGAAACUCAAAGGAAUUGACGGGGGCCCGCACAAGCGGAGGAACAUGUGGUUUAAUUCGAUGAUACGCGAGGAACCUUACCCGGGAUUGAAA